CNCACAGGCGACAUACUUCCUUUUGCAAGGC
rnacentral:piRNA from 1 species